GCGGGUGUAGUACAAUGGUUAGUAUACGUCCUUGCCAAGGAUGAGAUGGCGGUUCGAUUCCGCUCACCCGCU
rfam:Candidatus Magasanikbacteria bacterium RIFOXYD2_FTLL_41_14 rifoxyd2_full_scaffold_178, whole genome shotgun sequence.